AACGAACGCUGGCGGCAUGCCUAACACAUGCAAGUCGAACGAGACCUUCGGGUCUAGUGGCGCACGGGUGCGUAACGCGUGGGAAUCUACCCUUGGGUUCGGAAUAACAGUUAGAAAUGACUGCUAAUACCGGAUGAUGUCUUCGGACCAAAGAUUUAUCGGCAAGGGAUGAGCCCGCGUAGGAUUAGGUAGUUGGUGGGGUAAAGGCCUACCAAGCCGACGUUCCUGAGCUGGGCUGAGAGGAUGAUCAGCCACACUGGGACUGAGACACGGCCCAGACUCCUACGGGAGGCAGCAGUGGGGAAUAUUGGACAAUGGGCGCAAGCCUGAUCCAGCAAUGCCGCGUGAGUGAUGAAGGCCUUCGGGUCGUAAAGCUCUUUUACCAGGGAUGAUAAUGACAGUACCUGGAGAAUAAGCUCCGGCUAACUCCGUGCCAGCCGCCGCCGUAA
rnacentral:rRNA from 1 species